GGCUUCGUAGCUUAGUUGGUAAAGCGCUCGUCUAGCAUACAAGAGUCCUGGGUUCAAAUCCCAGCCGAGCAC
rnacentral:tRNA from 1 species